CGUAGGGCUCCUCUGCAGAGCUCUGCUCUCUACUGCUCUGAUUCUUAGGACAAUGUCAGGAAUUCCAGCUCCUCUAUCUCAGGUUCUGCUAUAUUGUAGAUCUCAAAAGGUUCUAAAGGCAAAGGUCAUUACACCACGGAUGAGCUGAAAAUUACACCCAGCUGCAAGGAAAGAUGCUGCCCAGGGAACUUCAGCUGCCCAGAAGAGAGACUAAAUUACUGGUGCUUUUAAUAUUCAUCUUUCUUCUUUGUCACUCAGGGCCAAUGAUCCAAACCACAUCCAUUGCACUGAGUUCAAAGAUGGUCUCAGCGUUACAGGGUGAAACGGUGAAAGCAGUCUGUGCGCAGAACAUCGAAGAAACGGAAGGGUUCGCUAUAACUCUGAGAAGAAAUGGCAGCUCUGCUGAGCUGUGUUAUACACAGCUUGGAAAUUUCACCAUUUGGAGCAGAAAUUGCACAGAGCGUAUAAACCUAGAAUACAAUAAGCUGACAAAAGGGUUUUAUGUUGUUAUGGAGAGCGUCUCUGUCAAAGAUUCUGGUGUUUACAGCUGCACCUUGGACAAGACACUUCCCCCUCCUGUGAGAACGCAAAGCCAGUCUAACAUUUCCCUCACAGUGUCAGGUGAGCCAGGAGUUCCCUGUGUUCCAAAUAUCCUAAAUGCUGCAGUGCUCUGAUAUGCGGGUGGAAGGACAGGUUGAAAAGCUUGUGUGACAUUCACUGCUGUAGAGUGUGGGCUAUUUUGUGAUGACUUAGCUCUGUAGUGACAAUCUGAGCCAGUAUGGUUACUGAGAUGGUU
rnacentral:lncRNA from 1 species